AUUGAACGCUGGCGGCAGGCCUAACACAUGCAAGUCGAGCGGUAGAGAGGUGCUUGCAUCUCUUGAGAGCGGCGGACGGGUGAGUAAUGCCUAGGAAUCUGCCUAGUGGUGGGGGAUAACGUUCGGAAACGGACGCUAAUACCGCAUACGUCCUACGGGNGAAAGCGGGGGAUCUUCGGACCUCGCGCCAUUAGAUGAGCCUAGGUCGGAUUAGCUAGUUGGUGAGGUAAUGGCUCACCAAGGCGACGAUCCGUAACUGGUCUGAGAGGAUGAUCAGUCACACUGGAACUGAGACACGGUCCAGACUCCUACGGGAGGCAGCAGUGGGGAAUAUUGGACAAUGGGCGAAAGCCUGAUCCAGCCAUGCCGCGUGUGUGAAGAAGGGUCUUCGGGAUUGGUAAAGCACUUUAAGUUGGGAGGAAGGGUA
rnacentral:rRNA from 1 species